rnacentral:rRNA from 1 species
AUUGAACGCUGGCGGCAGGCUUAACACAUGCAAGUCGAGCGGGGGAAGGUAGCUUGCUACCGGACCUAGCGGCGGACGGGUGAGUAAUGCUUAGGAAUCUGCCUAUUAGUGGGGGACAACAUCUCGAAGGGGAUGCUAAUACCGCAUACGUCCUACGGGAGAAAGCAGGGGAUCUUCGGACCUUGCGCUAAUAGAUGAGCCUAAGUCGGAUUAGCUAGUUGGUGGGGUAAAGGCCUACCAAGGCGACGAUCUGUAGCGGGUCUGAGAGGACGAUCCGCCACACUGGGACUGAGACACGGCCCAGACGCCUACGGGAGGCAGCAGUGGGGAAUAUUGGACAAUGGGGGGAACCCUGAUCCAGCCAUGCCGCGUGUGUGAAGAAGGCCUUAUGGUUGUAAAGCACUUUAAGCGAGGAGGAGGCUACUUUAGUUAAUACCUAGAGAUAGUGGACGUUACUCGCAGAAUAAGCACCGGCUAACUCUGUGCCAGCCGCCGCCGUAA